rnacentral:rRNA from 1 species
GUCCACGCCGUAAACGAUGGGUGCUAGGUGUGGGGGUGUCGACUCCCUCCGUGCCGAAGCUAACGCAUUAAGCACCCCGCCUGGGGAGUACGGCCGCAAGGCUAAAACUCAAAGGAAUUGACGGGGGCCCGCACAAGCAGCGGAGCAUGUGGUUUAAUUCGACGCAACGCGAAGAACCUUACCUAGGCUUGACAUGCAUAAGAAUGGCGUGGAAACACGUCAGCCUUUCGGGGCUUAUGUACAGGUGUUGCAUGGCUGUCGU